rnacentral:rRNA from 1 species
CACGUAGGGCGCAAGCGUUGUCCGGAAUUAUUGGGCGUAAAGAGCUCGUAGGCGGACUGUCACGUCUGCUGUGAAAAGCUGGGGCUUAACCCUGGCCUUGCAGUGGAUACGGGCAGACUAGAGGUAGGUAGGGGAGAAUGGAAUUCCCGGUGUAGCGGUGAAAUGCGCAGAUAUCAGGAGGAACACCGGUGGCGAAGGCGGGUCUCUGGGCCGUAACUGACGCUGAGGAGCGAAAGCGUGGGGAGCGAACAGG